UUUAUUUUCAGGUUGCACUAGAUACAUUUUGUCUCAAAGGACUAUUUUGCAUCUUUAAAAAAGCCAACAUGCAAGUAGACUGGUAUGUGCUGCAAUGACAAACAAAAAAUAUACAGUAUCUGCAAUAGUUGAAUACCUAGAUAUCCAGUCAGCAGCUGUAAAAACCAAGAUGACUAAAAUAUGUGAAGAUACAAGGCGCUCCAUGUCAAAGAGAAUGGAUACAGCAGCUAAUGUUUAACAACAGGCGCUUAAUGUGCAGUAAUUUUUUAAUUUUAAAUUGUAAUUGUAAUUAUCUUUGCUAAAGGUAACUUAGCAAAGUGUUGUAAUUAGAUUUU